UGGGACAAAGGUGCUCUGACAUUUUGUGU
rnacentral:piRNA from 1 species